CGACCUCAGAUCAGACGAGAUCACCCGCUAAAUUUAAGCAUAUCAAUAAGCGGUGGAAAAGAAACGAAAACGAAUUCUCCGAGUAGCGGCGAGCGAAACGAGAGUAGUCCAUACACCGAAGUCGGCGAGCAGUGGUGUUCGUCAACAGUGUGGUGUUGAAGGUGUCGUUGCAUGUGCUGAAAUCAGUUCGUAGGCUCCCUUGAUUGGGGCUUCAGAGCGGGUGCAGGACCCAUAACGAACGAUGUUUUGUGCAUGGUGUCGCGGCUCCUAAUCGAGUCGGGUUGCUUGAGACUGCAGCCCAAAGCGGGUGGUAAAUCUCACCCAAGACUAAAUAUUCGUACGAGACCGAUAGCGAACAAGUACCGCGAGGGAAAGUUGAAAAGAACUCUGAAGAGAGAGUUCAACAGGACGUGAAACCGUUGACAGGCAAACGGAUGGAGCUGACGGUGCAAUUUUGACCAAAAUCAGUCGUCGCUGGGUUCGUUGGCGAAUGAAUCUUUUGCAAACUUGUUUGUGUAGAUUAUCUUUCGUUUCGAAUGUACGCACGGUGCACUUUUGGUCGAUCAGCGUCACGAGCAACGUUCGCAUUUUUUGCUGCCGACAGUAAUUGUGUUUGUUGUUUUAAAAGCAACAAACAAUAAAGGCGGUUUGUGGAAGAGGUAAUUGUGGUAAAGACUUGUGCUUUUGUCUCAAUUGCCGUGCCAAUGCCGCAUCUCUCGGAUGAAUGUUGUUGUUGACAAGUUGAAGAGCAUUGUUCUGCGUACAAUUGUAAUGGGUCUGUUGGUGCCGUUGCGUUCGUGGGUUUCGGCUCACGAUUUGUCUGGUACGUCGGGAAAAAAGUCAAUUAUGAAUGUAAUUGAUCUGACUACCGUGCGUAACGGUAUUCAAAUGUGUGUUUGAUGGACUUUAUUUGCAAUCGGCGCUCAAUGUGUUUUCUUUUAUCGGUGGCGUCAAUGUUAGCCUCCCAUCCGACCCGUCUUGAAACACGGACCAAGGAGUUCAGUAGGCACGCGAGUCGUUGACGUUUUUCAUUGAACAGUCGAAGGCGAAAUGAAAGUGUUCAUGAAAAUGAACUGUACUUUUUUAUGGAGUGCUGUUCGCUUUCAACAUGAUCGUCCUUUUUUGUGCUUAAUUGUGCAAAAUAGAUGUAUGGGGACGCGCAGUGUAGUGCCGUUGAAUAGUCGCACUGUUCUUUCUUUCUCUUCGGGGUUGGAGGAACAAUUGUCGAUCAGUCGGUUUCGGAGCGUGCACACUGGUACCCGAAAGAUGGUGAACUAUGCUUGAGCAGAAUGAAGCCAGAGGAAACUCUGGUGGAAGUUCGUAGCGGUGUUGACGUGCAAAUCACUCGUCUGACUUGAGUGUAGGGGCGAAAGACUAAUCGAACCAUCUAGUUGCUGGUUCCUUCCGAAGUUUCCCUCAGGAUAGCUGGCAUUUGUUUGUAACAAUUUUAUCCGGUAGAGCGAAUGAUUAGAGGUGUUGGGAACGCAAUGUUCUCAGCCUAUUCUCAAACUUCGAAUGGGUAAGCAAGGCGUUUUGCUUUGAUUUUACGAUGAAAUCGCCCAAUUAGAAUGUAUAAAUGCCUAGUGGGCCAAUUUUGGUAAGCAGAACUGGCGAUGUGGAAUGAACCAAAAGUCAGGUUAAGGUGCCAGACAUUGGCGCUCAUGAAAUACCAGAAAAGGUGUUGGUCGAUAUAGACAGCAGGACGGUGGCCAUGGAAGUUGGAAUCCGCCAAGGAGUGUGUAACAACUCACCUGCCGAAUCGACUAGCCCUGAAAAUGGAUAGCGUUUGAGCUCCAGGCCCAUACCUGACCGUCUCAAUUACGCACUUUUUUUUCGGAAAAGGUGUAAUGAACGUUGAGACGGGUAGGAAGGUCGCGACAGUGUUGCUUUGAAGAGUUUUGAGCGUGAGCUCGCUCGGAGCCGCUGUUGGUGCAGAUCUUGGUGGUAGUAGCAAAUAUUCAAGUGAGAACCUUGAAGGCUGAAGUGGAGCAAGGUUCCAUGUGAACAGCAGUUGGACAUGGGUCAGUCGAUCCUAAGAAAACGGCGAAAGCUUGUUCGAAUUUGCGACAUGAAUUGUAAGACUGUGUGUGAAUUGGGUGUGCAGUUGUCGUAUGUUUUCGAAAGGGAAUCCGGUUGAUAUUCCGGAACCGAGUAACGGAGACAAAGAGUAGCGCUUUAAUCUCUCUGUGGGGUUGGCGUUCAACUCAAUCGCGCGGUAACGCAAGCGAACUCGGAAAAUGACCGUCGUGAGUUUCGAAAAGAGUUUUCUUUUCUUUUUAAGGGACGCAUUCCCUGGAACCGGGUUGUCCGGAGAUAGGGAUUCUGGUAUCCAUAAAACGCCGACUUUUUCACGGUGUUCGGAGCGCUCUCGUCGGUACGUGAAAAUCCGAGCGACGCCUGGUAAAUCUCGUACUUGGUCGUACUGAUAUCCGCAGCAGGUCUCCAAGGUGAAUAGCCUCUGGCCGAUAGAAUAAUGUAGGUAAGGGAAGUCGGCAAAACG
rnacentral:rRNA from 1 species